UAUUAAAAAACUAUUUUUUUAGAUUUGCUGAAAAGUAUCUAAUAGACAUGGUUCGCUUCUGAAUCUAUAAAAUAUACAGCCGUUUCCGUCCGUCCGUAUAAACUUCGAACCUUUAGGAACAUAUAAGUGCUAGAAUUGCUUAUUCCAAACAAAGUAGUCGGCCUCUUGUGUAGACAUGGCAAAAUAUUUCCAAUCACACUCCCAACUUUCAAAUAUGUUUUCAUUUUUGUUGCCAAUAUCUUCGCGUUAGGCGCUAAAAAUACAUUUGCCAAGACCCACUAGUUGCCUCUCUGAAAUCGAAUUCUCUAGAUACUUUUCUGAGAUACCAAGAUUCCGUUGGAAAGUUUUAAUAAACACUAAGCAGUAAACGCACUAUUUUUAAGCAGUAAACUUAUUUUCUACGAAACAAAAGUCGGAGUAAAUUGUUUCACUUUUGAUAGUUAGAUGCUCUGCUCCAUCACGAAAUGCCCAUUCAGAGGCGUUGGCUGCGUCGCCUGAAAAGCCAUCAGGAAAAUGUGGUCCAUCGGCAAGUUAUAGUUUACAGAUACAACAGCUGCCUCGGCACGAUACUCCAACUGAUGAUAAUCGAAGCCACCGGAUGGGGCGGUAAACAACAGAAGUGACAUUAAAGACACAUCAGAAUUCAUCAAGCAUCAAACUAAUAGAAAAAGUUCUGGCAGCAGCCGGCCCUGUUUCUGGCUUUUUCCGGCUGUCCUGUCCUGUUUGCGUCCAGAUUUGCUGCCACUGCCACUGUCACUGCUACUGCGACUGCGACUGCCACUUUCCAUCUUCCCUUUCCAUUUGCGGCCCCUUCGGCAUUAAAGCUAAACAGUGAAAACAAUUGCAGAGCUGCAGUUUCAAUUCCUGCUGCACUUUCCAGGCCGGGGCGGCACAUAAAAAUGAUUUAAAUGCAGGCGGCGAGCUGCAUUACGAGCUUACUGGCCAGGACCGGCUCCAACUCCAACUUCAGCUCCAGCUCCGGCUCCAACUCCGGCUCCAACUCUCUUUUUCUGACUGGGCACUCGUUGAGUGACAAGCUCCUUGCCCGGGGCCAUGUAUCAAGUUGAUGGCUGCCCGGUGGCAAGCGGCGGUGGCAACUUCGUUAUGACCGUUAGCAGCUCUAUUUGCCCGACUCGGAACCAAACUCCGAUCCACACUGGGAAAAUAGUGCCUGUGUUUAGUUUCUGAACGACUUCUCUUUACUUCUAUAUGAGCUUGGUAUGGAGUCCAAAGCGCAAAGCUUAUUUUCUUAAAUCAAAAUUCCACUGCUUAAUUAAAUAAGUUUCAUUAGCUUAACCAUUAGCCCAUUAUCUACGGUAAUUGAAACCUUUUCGCCGAAAGAGUAUUGCCAAAUUAAGGAGUUCUUCCUAAAAAACAAAAAGAGACCCCUCCUCCAUUCACUCAAUUUAAGAGUGAAUGGAAUUUUCUUGAGUGCACCUACUUCACUUCAUGGACUCUGCAGCGAAGUUCACUGUGGAGUGGGAUCUGCACUCCAUCUGCAUACUUAAUGCAUUUUCAUUUUAUUUCAUUGCUUUAGUUUUGACCAGGCCAACGGGAGGGGCCAGUUGACGGGGGUCACAUCGUCUGGACCUGGUCCGCAUCCCCUUGCACUUGGACUUGCACUUGGCCCGAGUUCGGGCCCGUAUCUGUAUCUGUAGCUGUAGCUGUAUCUGUAUCUGAAGCUGUAGCUGUAGCUGUAUCUGUAGCUGUGGCUCCAUCUCUAUCUGCAUCUUUAGCUGCGCCUCGCUCCAACUAUUUGCUCUACGGCUUGUCUUGUGUUUGCUUA